CAUAAAAAAGUAAACCUAUCAGAAUUUGUAAAUGAAAUUUCAACUAAACAAAGUAACUCUGUAGACCUUGAUGAAUCAUUUUGCUCUCAUUGCCAUCAGAAGGUGGGUAAGGGUAUCAGACAUCCAUGUGGACGGAGGGAUAAAAUUCGAAAUCUACAGUAUCUCAUACAAUCGAAUCGUUCAAAGAUUUCCCAGAGAGUUGUAUCUUCUGUAUUGAAGGAAUUGGCUACAAAAGAGGGAAGCAAAACACUAAAUCUUGCAACAAGUUUCAUUUAAACUUGAUUAAGCACCACUGAGGGAAAUUUCUACCAACACGUUAUUCAACAUAAAAAGGAAAACAGAUCUUCCAAUGACAGCUAUAGAUUGUAUGAUGACUGAGAUUACAAAAAACUUAAGGCGCAAUGGUAUUGAGUCAAAUGCAUCAAAGAUCAUUAAAGACAAGUCCUUUUUUCUUGAAAAGUAUUAUCACAAUCAGACAAUUGAAUUUCAGCGAGGUUAUAAGGUUGCUAAAAAAAAGGCUUUUGAACUAAUUUCCAAAGAUGUCGUGUAUGUUCCUGAACCAUGGAAACUAGUAGAAGAAAUAUGCAAUCAAAGAGAUCUGAAGUUAAUUUAUUAGAAACUGAAAUAAAUAAUUUAUGCAUAAGCAUUUUAAUUUAAAAUAAAAUUCAUUAAAAAAACAUUAUUGAAUUUUUAUUGUUAGGGGCAAGGCGGAAAGUUUGCCUGUUGUUAUUGCGAAGGAAUGAAAGAAGAAUCCACCGGCCUAUUAAGAACAUUUCCAAGUCUUAAUGAUUGGCACCUAAAGUAUGUAGAAGAUGGCGAGCAAUACAAGAGCAAUACAAGAACAUGCAGAUUUACAAAAAUGUUGUUGGUUGAUGUUUGCUACAAGAAAAUCCAGAGACUCUGGUAAUUGACAUAGUACUACCUCCUGAACUGCAUUUAUUUGAGCGAUUCAAGUUACAGAUGUGCUAAUUGCUGAUGAGUUCACUAAAAACUACUUGUUGAGUAAAACAGUUAUCAGAUAUGGGUAUAAUGGAGGAGGGUAUGAUGGACCAAAUUGUCACAAAGUCCUGUCAUGUUUAGAUGAAUUUAGAGAUAUAUAUCCUCCUCACAUUAUACCUUGCAUUGAAACAUUAAGGAAGUUUAGAACAGUCACUAAGAACUGUUUUGGAAUGGAGCUAUCACCAGAUUUUGGCAAAGACAUCAAAGAUUUUGUAACCAAAAUGUGCAACUUAAAAAACUAUCUUAAGAAUCAUACAAAUUACUCUCUUAGCCUGGGAUAGAAAUUCCACAUAAUACAAGUUUUAUUGAAAGAAAACAAAGAUCCUUGGGUGAUUUCAAUGAACAAACCUCUGUACACAAAAACGUAAAUAAAACAAUGAAGAGGUUUUCAAUGUCAGAACUUAAUAAAUCACAUGGAGAAAAGUUGAUAAAAAUGGCAGUCACAUACUCAAGUAUGAGAAUUUAGAGAGUCAAUUCAGACAUUUUCCAAUAAAAAAAGAACAUGCAUAUGAUUUAUUUAAUGAUAUUUAACUACAUACAAUGUUAAAAAUUACUUAAGUUUUUAAAU